rnacentral:rRNA from 1 species
UACGAAGGGGGCUAGCGUUGCUCGGAAUUACUGGGCGUAAAGCGCACGUAGGCGGCUUCUUAAGUCGGUGGUGAAAUCCUGGAGCUCAACUCCAGAACUGCCUUCGAUACUGGGAAGCUCGAGUCCGGGAGAGGUGAGUGGAACUGCGAGUGUAGAGGUGAAAUUCGUAGAUAUUAGCUAGAACACCAGUGGCGAAGGCGGCCAACUGGUCCGGUACUGACGCUGAGGUGCGAAAGCGUGGGGAGCAAACAGG